AGCGGGAAGUAGUUUACUACUUUGCCGGCGAGCGGCGGACGGGUGAGUAAUGUCUGGGAAACUGCCUGAUGGAGGGGGAUAACUACUGGAAACGGUAGCUAAUACCGCAUAACGUCUUCGGACCAAAGUGGGGGACCUUCGGGCCUCACGCCAUCGGAUGUGCCCAGAUGGGAUUAGCUAGUAGGUGGGGUAAUGGCUCACCUAGGCGACGAUCCCUAGCUGGUCUGAGAGGAUGACCAGCCAUACUGGAACUGAGACACGGUCCAGACUCCUACGGGAGGCAGCAGUGGGGAAUAUUGCACAAUGGGCGCAAGCCUGAUGCAGCCAUGCCGCGUGUGUGAAGAAGGCCUUCGGGUUGUAAAGCACUUUCAGCGAGGAGGAAGGCCAAUAACUUAAUACGUUGUUGGAUUGACGUUACUCGCAGAAGAAGCACCGGCUAACUCCGUGCCAGCAGCCGCGGUAAUACGGAGGGUGCAAGCGUUAAUCGGAAUUACUGGGCGUAAAGCGCACGCAGGCGGUUUGUUAAGUCAGAUGUGAAAUCCCCGCGCUUAACGUGGGAACUGCAUUUGAAACUGGCAAGCUAGAGUCUUGUAGAGGGGGGUAGAAUUCCAGGUGUAGCGGUGAAAUGCGUAGAGAUCUGGAGGAAUACCGGUGGCGAAGGCGGCCCCCUGGACAAAGACUGACGCUCAGGUGCGAAAGCGUGGGGAGCAAACA
rnacentral:rRNA from 1 species